UUCAGAAAGGCUGCUGAAUCUUCAGAAAGGCCUUUCCGAACCUUCAGAAAGGCUGCUGAA
rnacentral:miRNA from 1 species